rnacentral:rRNA from 1 species
CCCCAAGAGUCCACAUCGACGGGGAGGUUUGGCACCUCGAUGUCGGCUCAUCACAUCCUGGGGCUGUAGUAGGUCCCAAGGGUUGGGCUGUUCGCCCAUUAAAGUGGUACGCGAGCUGGGUUCAGAACGUCGUGAGACAGUUCGGUCCCUAUCCGUCGCAGGCGUAGGAAAUUUGAGAAGACCUGUCCGUUAGUACGAGAGGACCGGGAUGGACGUACCUCUGGUGUACCAGUUGUCCUGCCAA